GCGACGGCAUUCGUGACCCAACCAAGUCAGUCACUGUUCAUACCUACAUUCUGUCAUAUCGUCAGCAGUGAAAUCUCGUCUCUUUCCGUCCAAUCGGUAAAACCAUGAGGAAGUCCGUCGCCAUCCUGUUGAUCGUGGCCCUGACUGUGGCCAUGAUGUCCGAGCAGGCUGAAGGAAUAUCCGGUCGCCGUCGUCGGCGUCGUAACCAAGAGGUGGUUAAUCGCCAAAAGCGAGCUGAGUUGGGAGGGGAUGACCCAGUGAAUGAUCUGUUCGAGGAGACCCCCCAGCGCCUGGGUGGAGAAGCCUGACGGAGGAUGCUGUUCAUCCACAGCUGUAAGCACUGGACCAGCUGCCUUCACGAGAAGCCGUGAACACCAAUCCGACUGAUCGUCCAGUAAUGCUUCAUUGCGUGAACAAGCUUAAGCUUAGCUUUUAUGC